UGCUUACGGGGCGCAGCAGUGGGGAAUAUUGCACAAUGGGGGGAACCCUGAUGCAGCGACGCCGCGUGGGUGAAGGAGUAUUUCGGUAUGUAAAGCCCUAUCAGCAGGGAAGAACAAUGACGGUACCUGACUAAGAAGCACCGGCUAAAUACGUGCCAGCAGCCGCGGUAAUACGGAGGAUCCGAGCGUUAUCCGGAUUCAUUGGGUUUAAAGGGUGCGUAGGUUGUUUUAUAAGUUAGCGGUGAAAUACCGAUGCUCAACAUCGGGGCUGCCGCUAAUACUGUAGGACUAGAGAUCGGAUGCAG
rnacentral:rRNA from 1 species